CUCUCACUAUGCGGCUGGCACUAGGAUCAGCGAUGUAUCUUACACGAGGCAAACAAGGCAUUUGCCUUGGGCGGCACUUUGCAGGGGGCGGCAAAAUAAGCCAUCCCCAGAUGCCCAGGUGGAUUCCUUGUUUGCCUCGUGUCCUGGGGGGCUCAAGAGCUGGCGGGCUGGCCACUUGUGAGCCCCCCCCAAGAGGGCGGCAGCUUCUAUUGCGGCAGGC